UUUCCUUACAUCCUUUUCUCAACCUCUAAAGAAAUGUAAUAAAAAUAAUGACGAGAAGUUGUAAAAGAGGAACACCAUUCUGGCAUUCGUACAAUUUUUAGUUGGCAGAAUACAUUAUUACCCCAUAGACAUGGCACAAUUUAUUUAGAGCUUGUGUGGAUCGACUUUUGGCUUAUGACUAGUAGCCAAAAAUUAAAAGUUAGAAUUGUUGUUAUUUUGGCUUAUAAAUAAGUGCUUAUAAGCACUUAUUUAGUUUACCCAAGCACUACAAAAAUCCUUAAAAGCUAUUUUAGCUUAAAAACACCUAAAAUAAGCCAAUCCAAAAUGGACACUUAGUCCACACCUAAACUUUCCGUAGUUCUCAUUACCUCCUUCUCCCUAUAGACCAGUCUCACCUGAUGGAGGUGAGACCCACGCGCUGCCAUUUGGAUUCUUUGUUGAUGUGUCAUUUUUUAAAAAUAAAAUUCUUUUUACACUCUUUGAAUUUUUGGAUCAUCUUUUUCGGGCCAAAUUUAUAAAAGAGUUAGCAACUCCAUUAUUGAGAAUUUUUUUUUGACAGAAUAUAAUGGAUUGGACUGUGCAUCCGAUUUUUCUAUUUCUGUAUUGACCAUGUACCAAGAAUGAAAUGCAUUGCAUAUAUAUAUAAACAUAAUAUACUCUAUUAGUUCAACUUUUUGGUAUUUGUUUUCUAAAAUCUAAAACCAAACCAAGAAACCAAAAUUUCUAAUCCGAAACCAUACCAAAAAACCAAACUAAAUAACAAAAAAAAUUGGUUUCGUUUGAUUUUUGAGUUAAUCCAAAUUAUGCACACCCCUAAUAAUAAACUCUUUAUGGAAUUGAUAAGAAAUAUAAGUUGGAAACAAAAGUUCAUUGCAUCAAAAGAAAAGAAGAAAUAAAAUUAGCAAGGUGGAAAUCACAACAUAUCUCUAGGGGUAGCUGGUUGACCUUGAUUAAUCAUGUUCUUGAUUCACUACCAAUCUAUAUGAUGUUAGUAUUCCCAAUUCCCAAGAGGGUAAUCAAUAAGUUAGAUAAAUGAGAAGAAUAUUCCUCUGGCAAAGAAAAACAGUGAGAGUUAAGGCUACAACUUGGUUAAAUGGGAUGCUGUGAUAGUGUGAAAGAAGCAACGGGGUUCGGGAAUAAAGAACUUAAUGAAUUAGAGCGAAACCCUUAGGAUAAAAUGGCUGUGGAAGUUCAAUAAUGAAGAGCAGAGCUACUGGAAGGAAGUCAUUAACACAAAAUAUGUCAAGGAAGACAACUGGAUGACCAAAGAGAUGACUACACCAUAUCGGGUCAUUGUUUCGAGAUGCAUUAGAUCUCUGUGGCAUGAGUUUAAUGCUAACACAAAGAUCAAAGUGGGGAUGGACACAAAACAGAAUUUUUGAAGGAUGUUUGGCAUGAAGCAGGCAUGGUCCAUGGCAUACCCUUAAGAUUCAGGAAUAACCUCCACUGUUGGCCAGUGAUCGUGCAAUUUAGAAAGAGAUGCUUACCUGUCUCAGCAGUUUCCCCACACAAAAAGAUAAUCUAGAACGUAAUGGUAUCCACCUCCUCUUCAAGUUGUCUCGAGUCCGUACAACUUCUUUGGCUCACAACCAGACAAAACAGGCAACUUUGAGUGGGAUUUCUGACUUCCAGGUUCCUCGCCAGUGACUGUGAGGCUGAUGCUUAAAACUACCCUUCUGACUGCCUUUCUGCCACAAAAAUGUCUUGACCCCCUUCCAGUCCAUUAGAUUGCUCAGUGGUGUUGAAAAAAUCUGCUACCCUCUUGGAUCUCACAGUCAUUAAUUGUCUUCUAAAGAUGAAGUUCCACCCUUGAGGAGUCCAAGGAUCUACUAUGGUCUUCUGCUGGUGAGAUACUAGAGGAUAUAUAUCAAGAUACAAGACCUAGAACUGUUGAUAGUAUAGAGAACAGUAUGCAAGAAGUCAAGCUAUAUUGUUUUAUGCUUCUACCUUUUUUUGGUGUAAUCAGUUAUACUCAAAUGAUACUAUCUCCGUAAUUGAUGUACCAGACUCAAUUUAGGAAAAGAUAGUAGGAUUUGAACUACAUGUGUAAAUAUUGACCAGUACAGUUUUAGUACUCUCUUUUGAGGAAUAUACAAAGUGUCCAGUUUUUUUUAAAAAAAGAAA